CUUACCGGUUCAAGGAAGCAGUAAAACGGCAAAGUUUGUUUUGUUAUGUUCUCAAAGGGUUGAUAAUCGUUUCUGGCUUCUUUCUUUUAAUUUUCUGAAAGAG